AUUGAACGCUGGCGGAAUGCUUUACACAUGCAAGUCGAACGGCAGCACGGGGGCAACCCUGGUGGCGAGUGGCGAACGGGUGAGUAAUACAUCGGAACGUGCCCGGUCGUGGGGGAUAACGUAGCGAAAGUUACGCUAAUACCGCAUACGAUCUGAGGAUGAAAGCGGGGGACCUUCGGGCCUCGCGCGAUCGGAGCGGCCGAUGUCAGAUUGGGUAGUUGGUGGGGGAAAGGCCUACCAAGCCGACGAUCUGUAGCUGGUCUGAGAGGACGACCAGCCACACUGGGACUGAGACACGGCCCAGACUCCUACGGGAGGCAGCAGUGGGGAAUUUUGGACAAUGGGCGCAAGCCUGAUCCAGCCAUUCCGCGUGCAGGACGAAGGCCUUCGGGUUGUAAACUGCUUUUGUAUGGAACGAAAAGGCUCUGGCUAAUACCUGGGGCUCAUGACGGUACCGUAAGAAUAAGCACCGGCUAACUACGUG
rnacentral:rRNA from 1 species